AUUGGAUCCAGACUUUGAUCCUGGCUCAGGACGAACGCUGGCGGCGCGCCUAACACAUGCAAGUCGAACGAGAGAAAGGGAGCUUGCUUCCUUGAUCGAGUGGCGAACGGGUGAGUAACGCGUGAGGAACCUGCCUCAAAGAGGGGGGCAACAGUUGGAAACGACUGCUAAUACCGCAUAAGCCCACGGCUCGGCAUCGAGCAGAGGGAAAAGGAGCAAUCCGCUUUGAGAUGGCCUCGCGUCCGAUUAGCUAGUUGGUGAGGUAAUGGCCCACCAAGGCAACGAUCGGUAGCCGGACUGAGAGGUUGAACGGCCACAUUGGGACUGAGACACGGCCCAGACUCCUACGGGAGGCAGCAGUGGGGAAUAUUGCACAAUGGGGGAAACCCUGAUGCAGCGACGCCGCGUGGAGGAAGAAGGUCUUCGGAUUGUAAACUCCUGUUGUUGAGGAAGAUAAUGACGGUACUCAACAAGGAAGUGACGGCUAACUACGUGCCAGCAGCCGCGGUAAAACGUAGGUCACAAGCGUUGUCCGGAAUUACUGGGUGUAAAGGGAGCGCAGGCGGGAAGACAAGUUGGAAGUGAAAUCCAUGGGCUCAACCCAUGAACUGCUUUCAAAACUGUUUUUCUUGAGUAGUGCAGAGGUAGGCGGAAUUCCCGGUGUAGCGGUGGAAUGCGUAGAUAUCGGGAGGAACACCAGUGGCGAAGGCGGCCUACUGGGCACCAACUGACGCUGAGGCUCGAAAGUGUGGGUAGCAAACAGGAUUAGAUACCCUGGUAGUCCACACUGUAAACGAUGAUUACUAGGUGUUGGAGGAUUGACCCCUUCAGUGCCGCAGUUAACACAAUAAGUAAUCCACCUGGGGAGUACGACCGCAAGGUUGCAACUCAAAUGAAUUGACGGA
rnacentral:rRNA from 1 species